AGUGAACGCUGGCGGUAGGCCUAACACAUGCAAGUCGAACGGCAGCACAGUAAGAGCUUGCUCUUACGGGUGGCGAGUGGCGGACGGGUGAGGAAUACAUCGGAAUCUACUUUUUCGUGGGGGAUAACGUAGGGAAACUUACGCCAAUACCGCAUACGACCUACGGGGGAAAGCAGGGGAUCUUCGGACCUUGCGCGAUUGAAUGAGCCGAUGUCGGAUUAGAUAGUUGGCGGGGUAAAGGCCCACCAAGGCGACGAUCCGUAGCUGGUCUGAGAGGAUGAUCGGCCACACUGGAACUGAGACACGGUCCAGACUCCUACGGGAGGCAGCAGUGGGGAAUAUUGGGCAAUGGGCGCAAGCCUGAUCCAGCCAUACCGCGUGGGUGAAGAAGGCCUUCGGGUUGUAAAGCCCUUUUGUUGGGAAAGAAAAGCAGCAGGUUAAUACCCCGCUGUUCUGACGGUACCCAAAGAAUAAGCACCGGCUAACUUCGUG
rnacentral:rRNA from 1 species